AACGAACGCUGGCGGCAUGCCUAACACAUGCAAGUCGAACGAGACCUUCGGGUCUAGUGGCGCACGGGUGCGUAACGCGUGGGAACCUGCCCUUAGGUUCGGAAUAACUCCCCGAAAGGGGUGCUAAUACCGGAUAAUGUCUUCGGACCAAAGAUUUAUCGCCUUUGGAUGGGCCCGCGUUGGAUUAGCUAGUUGGUAGGGUAAAAGCCUACCAAGGCGACGAUCCAUAGCUGGUCUGAGAGGAUGAUCAGCCACACUGGGACUGAGACACGGCCCAGACUCCUACGGGAAGCAGCAGUGGGGAAUAUUGGACAAUGGGCUAUAGCCUGAUCCAGCAAUGCCGCGUGAGUGAUGAAGGCCUUAGGGUUGUAAAGCUCUUUUACCCGGGAUGAUAAUGACAGUACCGGGAGAAUAAGCUCCGGCUAACUCCGUG
rnacentral:rRNA from 1 species